CCUACGGGAGGCUGUAGUGGGGAAUAUUGGGCAAUGGGCGAAAGCCUGACCCAGCAACGCCGCGUGAAGGAAGAAGGUUUUCGGAUUGUAAACUUCUGUCCUCAGGGAAGAAGAAAGUGACGGUACCUGAGGAGGAAGCCCCGGCUAACUACGUGCCAGCAGCCGCGGUAAUACGUAGGGGGCGAGCGUUGACCGGAAUGACUGGGCGUAAAGGGCGCGUAGACGGUUGUCUAAGUCUGGAGUGAAAGUCCUGCUGUUAAGGUGGGAAUUGCGUUGGAGACUGGAUGACUUGAGUGCGGAAGAGGGAAGUGGAAUUCCCAGUGUAGCGGUGAAAUGCGUAGAGAUUGGGAGGAACACCAGUGGCGAAGGCGACUUACUGGGCCGUAACUGACGUUGAGGCGCGAAAGCGUGGGGAGCGAACA
rnacentral:rRNA from 1 species